rnacentral:rRNA from 1 species
UACAGAGGUCUCAAGCGUUGUUCGGAUUCAUUGGGCGUAAAGGGUGCGUAGGCGGCGCGGUAAGUCGGGUGUGAAAUCUCGGAGCUUAACUCCGAAACUGCAUUCGAUACUGCCGUGCUUGAGGACUGGAAAGGAGACUGGAAUUUACGGUGUAGCGGUGAAAUGCGUAGAUAUCGUAAGGAAGACCAGUGGCGAAGGCGGGUCUCUGGACAGUUCCUGACGCUGAGGCGCGAAAGCUAGGGGAGCAAACGGG